rnacentral:tRNA from 1 species
UCGCUGAUGGUCUAGUGGUCAGGAUUCGGCGCUGUACCCGCUGAGACCUGGGUUUGAUUCCUGGGCAGGGAA